GACACCAGGACCUGUGGGGAGUGCAGGAGAACCAGGGAGAGAAGGUCAGCCGGGGCACCCAGGCAUGCCAGGCCUGAAGGGCAGCAAGGGACAAAGAGGAAGUCAAGGUGAAAGAGGAGAGACGGGAAUGAAAGGUGAAAAAG